UACGUAGGGUGCAAGCGUUGUCCGGAAUUAUUGGGCGUAAAGAGCUCGUAGGCGGUUUGUCGCGUCGGCUGUGAAAACCCGGGGCUCAACCCCGGGCCUGCAGUCGAUACGGGCAUCACUGGAGUUCGGCAGGGGAGACUGGAAUUCCUGGUGUAGCGGUGAAAUGCGCAGAUAUCAGGAGGAACACCGGUGGCGAAGGCGGGUCUCUGGGCCGAUACUGACGCUGAGGAGCGAAAGCGUGGGGAGCAAACAGG
rnacentral:rRNA from 1 species